rnacentral:rRNA from 1 species
CGAAAGUGGGCUUCGGCCCACGAGUAGAGCGGCGAACGGGUGAGUAACGCGUGGGUGAUCUGCCUUCGAGUGGGGAAUAACACCGGGAAACUGGUGCUAAUACCGCAUAACAUCCUCGGUUCGUUCCGAGGAUCAAAGCUGGGGACCGUAAGGCCUGGCGCUUGAAGAGGAGCCCGCGUCCGAUUAGCUUGUUGGCGGGGUAAUGGCCCACCAAGGCUUCUAUCGGUAGCCGGCCUGAGAGGGCGGACGGCCACACUGGGACUGAGACACGGCCCAGACUCCUACGGGAGGCAGCAGUGGGGAAUUUUCCGCAAUGGGGGAAACCCUGACGGAGCAACGCCGCGUGGAGGAUGAAAGCCCUCGGGUCGUAAACUCCUGUCGAUCGGGAAGAAUGCGUCCGACCUAAUACGUCGGCACGUUGACUGUACCGGUGGAGGAAGCCACGGCUAACUCUGUGCCAGCAGCCGCGGUAAGACAGAGGUGGCAAGCGUUGUUCGGAAUUACUGGGCGAAAAGCGCGCGCAGGCGGUUCGUCAAGUCCCGUGUGAAAUCCCCCGGCUCAACUGGGGAACUGCGCGGGAAACUAGCGGGCUUGAGUUCGGGAGAGGGAAGCGGAAUUCCGGGUGUAGCGGUGAAAUGCGCAGAUAUCCGGAGGAACACCAGUGGCGAAGGCGGCUUCCUGGACCGAUACUGACGCUGAGGCGCGAAAGCUAGGGGAGCGAACGGGAUUAGAUACCCCGGU